rnacentral:rRNA from 1 species
UUCCUCUUAUUUAUAGGAGGUAAGACCUGCUCACUGAAAAUUUUGAAGAGCCGCAGUAUUUUAACUGUGCUAAGGUAGCAUAAUCAUUAGUCUUUUAAUUGGAGACUGGAAUGAAUGGUUAAACGAGAGAUCAACUUUUUUUAUUAUAGUAAUUGAAUUUAAUUUUUUAGUGAAAAAGCUAAAAUUUAUUAGAAAGACGAGAAGACCCUAUAGAGUUUUAUAUUUUUUUAUUUUUUUUUUAAAUAGAUUUUUUAUAAAAAAAACUAAGAAGGUAUUUUGUUGGGGCGAUAUUUAGAUAAUAAAAACUCUUUAUUUUUUUAACUUUUAUAAAAGUAUAAUUUGAUCCUCUAAAAAAGAUUAAAAGAAAAAAUUACCUUAGGGAUAACAGCGUAAUCUUUUUUGAGAGUUCUUAUCGACAAAAAGGUUUGCGACCYCGAUGUUGGAUUAAAAUUUAGGCAGGGGGUAGUAGUUCUGCUAUUUAGGUCUGUUCGACCUAUAGUAUUUUACMUGAUCUGAGUUCAAACCRGCGUAAG